UACGAAGGGGGCGAGCGUUGUUCGGAAUUACUGGGCGUAAAGGGCGCGUAGGCGGCCGAUCAAGUCAGAUGUGAAAGUCCUGGGCUUAACCUGGGGACUGCAUUUGAUACUGAUUGGCUUGAAUUCGGGAGAGGAUAGCGGAAUUCCCAGUGUAGAGGUGAAAUUCGUAGAUAUUGGGAAGAACACCGGUGGCGAAGGCGGCCAUCUGGACCAUUUCUGACGCUGAGGCGCGAAAGCGUGGGGAGCAAACAGG
rnacentral:rRNA from 1 species